rnacentral:rRNA from 1 species
AUUUUGACUGUGCGAAGGUAGCAUAAUAGAUUGUCUUUUAAAUGGAGGCUUGAAUGAAUGGUUGGACAAAGUAUCAUCUGUUUCUUAAAUAACUAUUGAAUUUGACUUUUAAGUGAAAAGGCUUAAAUAAAUUAAAAAGACGAUAAGACCCUAUAAAUUUUUAUAAAAAAUAUAAUUUUAGUUUAAAUUUAUAAGUUUAUAAAAUAUAAAUUAUAAUUUUAUUGUGCUGGGGUGGUGUAUGUAUAUUGUAAAACUGUUUAUAAAAUAAAAUCAAUAAUAUUUGAUUAAUAAAAUUGAUCCUUUAAUAGAUUAAAAGAUUAAAAUACUUUAGGGAUAACAGCGUUAUUUUUUCUAAGAGUUCUUAUUGAAGAAAAAGUUUGCGACCUCGAUGUUGAAUUAAAGUUUCUUUGUGGUGUAGCAGCUAUGUAAGAGAGUCUGUUCGACUUUUAAUACUUUACAUGA